rnacentral:lncRNA from 1 species
CCCCAGACUGUUCUCAUGGUAGUGAACAAGUGUCAUGAGACCUGAUGGUUUCAUAAAGGGAACCCCUUUUGCUUGGUUCUCAUUCUCUCUUUCUGCCACUAUGCCUUUCACCUUCUGCCAUGAUUGUGAAACCUCCCGAGCCAUGUGGAACUAACGUAGAGAAGAAAAAGGACUCUGGAGGAAGGUUGUAAAAGAUGGAAGGACUAAAAAUGGAGACACUUUGUACACUUGAAUCAUUGCAUGGAAGCCUACCAUGAAGUAUCAGUUGGACUAGAACUUCACUAAAUAAACUUCAAAGCCUUUAAAAACAUUCCUCUGUCUUUUUUAUGUUAACCACCAAACCAAUCUGUUGAAUUCUGUUUUGCUUCCUUCUAGAUAAAGUAAAUUUUGGUAUUUGGGAAUAGUAAUGUGAUGGUUAAUAUUGAGUGUCAACUUGAUUGGAUUGAAGGAUGCAAAGUAUUUUCCUAGGUGUGUCUGUAAGGCUGUUGCCAAAGGAGAUUAACAUUUGAGUCAGUGGGUUGGGAAAGGCAGACUCACCCUCAAUCUGGGUGGGCACCAUCUAAUCAGCUGCCAAUGCAGCCGGAAUAAAAGCAGACAGAAGAACGUGAAAAGACUGGACUGGUUUAGUCUCUCAGCCUACAUCUUUCUCUACUGUUGGAUGUCCACUGGGAGCUGGGUCUGUGGCCCUUAGUGCUCCUAUUGUUCCAUUCUAUUCAUAUUCUUCAUUCUUCUACUCAGUACUGGGCAAAGAUCAAACCAACCUGUAGUUCCCUUGAUAAAAGGGCAGGAUGCUUCCUGCCCUUGAACAUCGGACUCCAAGUUCUUCAGCUUUGGGACUCUUGGACCUUGGACCACAGGCUGAAGUCUGCACUGUCAGCAUCCUUACUUUUGUGGUUUUGGGACUCGAACUGCCUUCCUUGCUCCUCAGCUUGCAAACAGCCUAUUGUGUGACCUCACCUUGUAAUCAUGUGAGUCAAUACUCCUUAACAAACUCCCCUUUAUUUAUACAUCUAUCCUAUUAGCUCUGUCCCACUAGAAAACUCUAACUAAUACGAGCAGUAUAAAUUUAAGUUUUGUUUCCAGCCUCAAGGUUGAGGGCGUUUUAUCAAGGGGACUACUGGUUGGACUGACCUCUGUCCAGCACCAACCAGAAGAUGAAGAAUAAUUUGAAUAGAAUGACACAACAGGAGCACCAAGAGCCACAGACCCAGAUCCCAGGGGACAGUUACAGGCCCAGACAGGCAAGAUCUAGAACCAAAUGAAAAAAUAAUAGAGCAAACACUGAUUAGCUCUUAUCACCGAGAAAAGCAGCUUUCCCAUCAGACUUGUUUGUUUUAUAGUCAUGCUGUGUUCAGGUGGCAGAGCCUAUGACCCUGUGGCUCAAGGGAGCAGGUGCAGUUGAUGUACCAUAAAACACAAAGGGAGUAGAUAUUUGAAACAGGGUUCUAAUACCAAUUUUACUGCUUAUUAACUGUGUAAACUUAAAAUACUAUUAAAACCUGCGUACGUUUCUCAAAUGAGGAAAAUAUAACUAUAAUCCCAUUGGAUUAUUAUGACAAGUGGAAUAUUAAAGGUGAAAUAAGUAAUCAAGAUUUAAUGCAUUCAUUCCUUUCCUCUCCUCUGAUUAACAUAAAAUGAGGACUGGAUUUUUCAGGAGCCUCUUACGGUCACUAGCUGCAGAUUUAUUGAUAUUCUUAGCAAUAUUAAAAAAGUUGUGUUACAGUAGAGGAUCCAAUAGGCAAGUAAAUAGUAUCUGGGCUGAAUUGCUACAUCUGGCAGUAAUGUAAUUCCUUCUAAUUUAAACCCCAACUUUUGUGGAUUUCACAUAUGUGAUUAAGGGAUAGGGAAAUGCUGUAGAGAUAAGAAUUGCUGCUCAGCAUAAGUGAAAAGUGCCUGCCUGUCUCACCUCCCUGCCAACUGGCUUGUACAACUCAUAAUGUCUCUGUUUUUUUACUCUCUUCAUUUACUAAAUCUCAGCACUUCAUUCCCUCCUGUUGCAGGCAGGAAAAAGAUAAAUUUUUGUUUGAAUAUCAUCUUAAGUAAAUUAGUGCGUAUAGGCAUGAUUUGUAUAAUUACAGCUGUUAAUAAUUAGUGUAAAUAGAGAUCAUGUCACAACUAGCAAAUGUAAUUAAAUCACAUAAGAAGUCUAGAAAAACCUACGUUUUGUGUAGGAAAAGAAUGCAUUAGAUAAAUUGUAAAAUUGUUCUAUAGAAAACACUUAAAACAUAUUGUGCUUCAUAUCUAGUUACAAAUAAUUGCAAACCAAGGUUUCUUAGGAAUAUUUUUGUGUAUUUUAAAUAAUUUUUUAAGUCAAAGAAAUAAAAUACCCAAGGCCAUGCACGGUGGCUCACGCCUGUAAUCCCAGCACUUUGGGAGGCCCAGUCGGGUGGAUUACGAG